CUCAGAACCCAUCUGAUGAGAGAAGUUGAAAAACACACUCUGCUUGUUUUAGGGAGCUGGAAAGAGAAUUCUGUUUUUUCAGCUCAAGAUGAAGCUAAGAAGGUAAACUACUUUCGUACCCAACAAGAAAAACAAAAUUUAUGCAAUGAAUGCUUGCAAUUCAAGGGGAAAAAAAAUGCAACAGCAGCUUAAUUUUGUUAUGAAAAAGUGAUUGCAGUUCACAUUCAAUUUGAUGGCCAAACAUAUCAUGAGCUUAGAUCCUGGAAAACCAGAGACUGAGCAGCUGAAGAAAUUGUAUGUUACUUUCAUGAAAGGUGUGGUUUCUGCUCCAGUCAAUUUACCAGGAACAGCUUACAGAAAAGCCUUGCAGGUAAUUAGUUAACAUUUUUCUACAUGGAAUUUCAUCUGCCAAUAAGCUUAAAUUUUAAUUUUCAAAAUUUUAAAAUGAUUUAUUUACUCUGCUUCACAGUCAAGAUCAACCAUUCUGAAGUUUAUAGAGAGCAAAAUGGAAGGAAGAUUAAAGGAAGGAAAAGAAAACAUAGAUGAAGAUGAUCUUCUUGGAUGGGUUUUGAAGCAUUCCAAUCUCUCCAAAGAGCAGAUUCUUGACUUGAUAUUGAGCUUGCUCUUUGCUGGCCAUGAAACAUCCUCAGUGGCCAUAGCUUUAGCCAUAUACUUCUUACCAGGCUGUCCUAAUGCAAUUCAGCAGUUAAGGGUAAGCAAACUUAGAUUAAUUCCAAUCCAUCUCCGUUUGGUUUUUGAUUAGUUUUGAUUAUUUCUUUAAUGGGUCUGGUUUAUUCUGCAGGAAGAACACACAGAAAUUGCCAAAGCCAAGAAACAAGCAGGAGAGACAGAGUUGAAUUGGGAUGACUACAAGAAAAUGGAGUUCACUCAAUGUGUAAGCUCUCUUAAUCAUUGUUAAAGCUUAAAUUAAGCUUAAUUAUCUCAUAAUUAAAAUUUUGCAUCUUUUGUUUGCGAAGGUUAUCAGUGAGACACUUCGGCUUGGAAAUGUAGUGAGGUUUUUACACAGAAAGGCUUUGAAGGAUGUUAGGUACAAAGGUAAGACUUUGAGGACAAUUUAGUGUAAGAGUUGGAAGUUGUAGCCAAAAAGUCGUCUAAAAUCUUAGGCUGCUUAGAAUUAAAGUUGAUUUUUUUUUUCUUCUUCUUCCUUUUUCUGUUUGGUGUUUGAAACUUGGAAAGGUUAUGACAUUCCAUGUGGAUGGAAAGUGCUUCCGGUCAUUGCAGCCGUGCAUUUGGAUCCUUUACUUUUUGACCAGCCUCAACACUUCAAUCCAUGGAGAUGGCAGGUCAGUUUUUUAGCUUUGGCCUUUGGACAGCAUGCCUCAUAAUUAUAGUGGUCUUUUUCACAUUUUCCUUUAAAUAAUUGUUUUGUGUCAAGGUUAAAUUGAAAAGGGUACCAAGCACAUCCCCUUUGGUUGUUCUUGCGGCUCCCACAAAACAGCCGUUGGUUGUUACUUGUGUACCCCACAAAAAAAUUUCUUCUUCCUAAUCCUACAUGUAGUAGAUAUUUGUGUUAUACACUAUCUGCAAUAGUCUCUCGUCCUGUGAUUAGAGAGAUGAUGACAAUUGAUUAUUGUGUUGAUAUGAUAUGAAUAGAAAACGCAUAUUCGGAUAAAAUUCUACCUUAUUAAUAGUUCCAAUUCAGUGUGGAUGCGAGGUGCGUCCGUAAUAAGAUAGUUGCAAAGGCAGAUGAUAUCUCAUGGAUUUUUCCCAUUCAGAUGAAGUGUCUAUAUCACUGAAAGGAUGGAAGCUUCAUACUGUGUACGGACAAACUAGGUCCUCCACCUCUCUUUAUUUCUUGCCCUAGUGUGCGUGUGGGGAGAGACGGGGGGUUUGAGAUUAUUAGAGCCCAUGUGGAUGUGGGGUUGGUCACAUGCUGCCAUUGCACGUGCACAUAAGUGCUUUUUUCUCUAGUGGGUCAAAUGCCAAACUGGUCCUGACCAUUUUUUCUCCUUUUAUAACAAAAAGAAGCCCAAACACUGGUCCAGAAAAUCCCAAACGAAUAAGGAAUAGAAACGUAUUUACAAAGGCCAUCCCAAAAGGUUAAAGAGUGUACCACGGAAACCAUACGACAUUACAAUGAUAAUUAGUGCGACAGUGACAAAAUCACUAUGAGAACGCAAGCUUUUGGUGAAUUUUAUCCUCAUAGGGUCAAGAUGAAACCCUCAAAAUUCUCCCCUUAGGAAAGUUGCCCUCUUGGAGGCAUUUUGUCAAACAUAUUGGUUUGGUGGGGUCAAUACCUCUCAUUUGAUCUUUAGUGGAUCCACCACUGAGUAAAAGUCGUAUCUUUAAUAGAGACGAGACUCACUACUAAUAAUGAUGUAAGUAUUAGAAAUGUGAUCAAGAAAUACGAUACAAAUAGUAACGUAAGUAGUAAUAUGCAUCCGAAUCUCAAUCUUUUAUGGGGUGUAAAAGGCCCAUUAGUCUCAUUAUGUAAUAGUCCUGUAUUGGGUAGAAAAGUAGAAAGCUCAUAUGAGCCCCAAAUAAUCCAAAACAAAACAAAACCAAUGACUUUUGCUUGAUUAUAUUUUUAGCAUCACAUGCCACUGAAUUUUUUUGUUCAUUUGUGGUUUUGUUUGUGUGUGUGUGGUGAUGGUGAUGGUGAUGGUGAUGAUGAUUUGAUGCAGCAGAAUAACAACAGUGGAGCAUCUUCAUCAUCUUACACGAGCAUGACAAGCAGCAACUUUAUGCCAUUUGGGGGAGGACCACGACUUUGCGCCGGUUCAGAACUGGCCAAACUUGAAAUGGCGGUUUUCAUCCACCAUCUGGUCCUCAACUUCCACUGGGACUUAGAAGACGAUUUGGAUCAGCCUUUUGCCUUCCCUUUUGUCGAUUUUCAAAAUGGCCUACCAAUCACAGCCCGGAGGCACCAAAACCAAUCUCAUAUAAAUCCCAAAAUUUAAAACUCCCCAUGGAAUUAUAUUUUAAAAAAAGCUUCAAAUGUGACAGAUGACAAAGCUAGCUAGCUCAUUGUUUUGGGUUGUUGUAAUUUCCCAACGGCUUAGUCUACUAGGGCAACUUCUUGUGCCUCUGUUUAUGCGGUGCUUCACUUAAACAAAGACCUCAACUGAUCACCGCCAAGCUCUGCAUAUAUGCACCCAAUUUAAAAGGAGAAAAAAAAAAUUAUCACAUCUUCCUCUCUUUGUAAAUUUGAUUGUCUUAAGGUCCCUUCCUCAUUCUUGUUGGGAGACUUGAGGGUAAUUAUUUAUUUUAAUGUGAUGUGGAUUCGAACUUGGAUACAUAGUGGGGAACACAUCCGUUCUAGCCAAUUUAACUAAAUUCUUGUAUGCAUUUUUAACUAGCAUUUGAACUUACAACACAAGCAACAAUUUGAAAUGCCUUAUUUUUAAAAUAUCAAUCUCUUUUCUGUUGAUAUUUUAUUUGUUAAUUUUCUAUGGAUCGAGAAAUAAAAACUUCAAAAGAAAAAGGCGAAGAAAGGACACAGAUUUAAUGAAAGCAUCAGAAAGCUCGUGCAGAAACUUAAAUGAAUAGGCCAAGGGCUCCUUCCCCUUUCUGAUCCUUGUUAGUAGGUUUUCUUUCGCUUUCCCGAUGUGCAAUUGUUUGUUCCUACUUCCUACCAUCUACUUAAAUUCCAAUUCAUGGGUUUCUGUUUCUUUUUGUUUCUGUCUCUCACUGUUGUUGAUGAUCUCUCUGCGGCCAAGGAAGCUGCACGUUAGGUUUCUAAGAAAUGUGGACCUUAAUUACCCGCUUAAAGCUUAUGGUUGCAAGAAAUGUAGCCCUUAAAUACGAGCUUACGACUACUAUUGUUAUGAAAAUAGGAACGAUCCUCAGACGAAGUCCUCGAUUUGAAUUCUAGCAUUUGUAUAGCGUGUGCAAGUUGAAUUACCCACUUAAAACUUAUGGUUGCAAGAAGUGCGGCUGUUAAUUACCAGGUUACGACUUUCCUAUUGUUAUGAAAUUGAAACCAAGUUAAAAUUUGGGUUCAGCCCCCAGCCUAUAAACUCUGUUUUCAGCCUAGCUCAACUACAGAGUUGAAUAAACCAAAUCCAAUUGAGGCCAAAAUGUGAUGGGUUCUUGUUAAGACCAUUUGAUGCGUUUCUCCCAUCCAACUUUUCACAACAGGAUGCAAAGUUCUAGAAUUGGCCCAAAACUGUGUAUAAUUAGUUAGCAAUAAAGUUGGACCGGAUCAUUCAUGUUUUUCUCCAUAUAGGCCUUUUCACACUGACUUGACUAUAAUGGGUCGAUUCACUAUCGUGACUAACUGGCAUAACCCAUCUUUACAUUCUCAUUUCGACUUUAAAAUAGGAAUGUUCAAUACAUCAGCUUGCACAUAAGAGUUAAAGAAAAAUACUAAAUGUGAAAUCUACCAUGCAUCAAUUGCCAUCGAUCUCAAAUGGCUGCAAAAAUACUCUCUUAUCAUAUCAGAAAUGUAGAUUAGUGAUUAUUAUAACUUUCUUUUUCAACACAAAACAAGUGUUAUGAGAUUUAGGGUUCGUUUAGGAAUGAUUAUGGAUAUGUUAUAAUCACUUAUGGAAAGAAGCAUCUUUGCAUGUGCUUCUUCAUAUAAUCAUUUUUAGUGAUUUUGAGGAGAAGCACUCCUCCAUAAAAAUGAUUAUUGACCUAUCCAGAAUCACUCUUAAACGAGGCCUUAAGUUAUGUCAUCUUCUAACAAAAUUGAGAUGAAAUGCCCUUAGAGCAUCCACAGUGGGGGGGUGUAUUUUCGGGGUUGUAAAGCCACUUUUACAUCUCCUUUACACCUCCAGGAGGUGUAAAUACUUUUUUUGCUUCAAUGGGAAAUGAUGUAAAUCCAAAUAUGCAUAUUCGAUUUGUUUGCGAUAAUUCUUUUUUAUGGUUUUUUUUUUGUUUUAACUUUUAAAAAUUAAUUUUGUGCGUGUUAGAUUUAUUUUAUUUUUCCAAAUAAAUGGACUUAAAAAAAUUUAAAUUUGGAGAACAUAUGAUUUUACUUACGAACUAACAUAAAAAUAUUUAUGUAGAAAUCUGGGCCAUUUGAAGUAAAGGAUGUAAAAAAAGAUGCAAAUGUGCAUCUAAUUUUACAUCUCCAUAGUUGUGAUGUAUUUUUAUAACCAUUUAUAUCUUUCUAUUUGAGAUGAUUCCGACAACAAAAAAUGUAUAUUUAACAUACACCUCCCACUAUGGAUGCUCUUGGACUAAAUUUGUAUUCGAACAGUCGUACAUGGAACACAUGCCGUGUCCCUCAAUCAAAUACGAUACCAUACUUUAUAAUUUUGCAAUUCAAAUCAAAAUUGAUAUGGAGGUCUUGAGCUAAUGGUGGAUUAACUGCCACGUGGUUUGUCUUCAUUAUGUCCAUCGUGGCUUAAAGAGCACCAGCCCAUGCACACUUGCUCUUCCCCUACCAAACCAAACCAAACCUCCAAAAUAUUAUUAGUUGGGUUGGGUUGGGUUUGGAUCACCAUGUUCUUCGACGUAAAAGUCCUAAAAAGAAACUUUAUGCCUUGGAGGAGGACCAUUCUGAUUGGAACGUUAUCCAUUCACGUUAAUAAGAAGAAGACCAAUCUAUUCGAAACCGACUAAUAAAAUUAAACAAGAGAAAAAAUGCCCAACAUGGGGUUUUUGCAAAUGAAGCGUGUUGAAAUCCCAAUCGCAAAAUUCAAAAAGGACAAAUGUCAAAAUUCAGAAGCAGUAAUCAAUGAAAAUGAUUUACUAAACUUGAUGUUACAAAAUAUACAACAUUUUUUUUAAUUAAAUUUGGAACAAUGGUAAAACUUUAAACAUGACUUGAUUCGUUAUUUGCUUUGAUCCACCUAAAAUGAAUGCAAUCUAUGUUAAUUAGUCUUUGAUUUGGCAGUAAUUCUCUUUUCAAGACGUCUUGAAUUCGAAUUUUCAUUCCUUCAAUUAAAAUUGCUACUAAUUACUACGCUUGUAAUCACCACCAUAUGCUUAUGGUAUAUGAAUAUGGGAAAGAAUAAGGGUAUCAUGGGAAUAUGGGGUGUAUUGCUAAUUGACCGACCUCUAUUCGUGUUGAGAACAUAAUACGAUCUUUAAAUAAUAAGUUAAUGUUUUUUACACAAUAUGAUAACAUUAUUCAUAAUCAACAUAAAUAGUUAAUCAAUUUAAUUCACCAUUACUUAACCCAAACACGAUUCAUGGAUAUGACACAAGCCACCAAUGCAAAUAUUAAACAUGUCGGUUUAGUAUCAAACAUUGUAAAACAUGCUUUGCUUAAAUAUUAUUCGAAGAAAAUAAUGAUUGAAUAGUUACCGAGUUUUUUUAUAUGUGAGUAUGAUUUUAUGGGGGUAGGUUUGGUCUAAAAACAAAAGUCACUCACCAAAAUUACUGAAUUCUCCCCUUGGGUAGUAGCGAACUGUUCGGACACAAGCCAGACUGGUCGGUAAAAACAACAAUGCUGAAAUGGUCAUUGGCAGUUUUUAUCCUGGUGGCGAUUCAGUAAUUUCGGAAAACUUUAUAACCGUAAAAUUCCAUUUGCUAAUCAAAAGCUGCUGUUUUAUUUUCCAUUUCGCCUCCACUGCUGCGACGCCGAGAAGGAAAAAAAAACAAACGCAGAAUAGCAGAGUUUCCAAUCUGAGAUACAGAGCGGGACAGAGAUAAACCGGAAACCAAACACCACCCCACAGCUAGAGCUACAGCUGCAGCGAGAUGUGGCGGUGCGUUUCUCGUCGACUUGGCGUUCCUUCUUCCCAGAGAUCCGUCUCCAGUGACUCUCUUAGAUCUCACUUCUCCAGGCUCUUCUCCACUGAAUCCGUACGCGCACUCUCUCAAUCUUUGGGUUUUUUUUCUUCUCAAUCUUCUUCGUCUUAUUCUUGAUCAUUGAUUUCAUUUCAUCUGCGUAGCUUCAUUGGAAAUGAUACGCAACUGUGUAUCCAGGAAUUGAUUAUUGGUUUUAUGGAUGAUUUUGUUGAGUUUUGAUCGGAUUCUAUCUUAUUUUUGUCAUUAUUUUAAUUAUAUAUGGUACAAUAGUUGAGCUUUUGAUUUCUGUUCAGUUUGGUUGCCGAUAAUUAGCAGGAAAGUAAGGGAAUCUAAAGCUUAUAAGUUUCUGAUUCUCCAUUUUAUUGAUUUUGAAACGGCAUCAAUCCACUCAAACGAGCUCAUUGCUGCUAAUUGGCUAAGCUAUUUUUGGGGGGGUUAAAGUUGAAUUCAGUUAUUCAUUUUGUUGACAUUUAAGUUUUCAAACACUCUAUUAAUGCAGUUCAUUAUUCUUUAAUCUACGUGCAAAGUUUAGUUCUUUAGCUUGUGAUCGAUUGUAUUUGGUAAUAGUACAUGUCUUUUUUGCUUUUGGCAGGCUACAGGGCGCUCUUCGUACACUGUGGUGGACCACACUUAUGAUGCAGUGGUUGUCGGGGCUGGUGGUGCAGGGCUGAGAGCAGCCAUAGGACUUUCAGAGCAUGGAUUUAAUACCGCUUGCAUUACGAAGCUAUUCCCAACUCGUUCACAUACUGUUGCAGCCCAGGUGUGUGAUAUUGCAAUUUAAUCUGACUAUUGCAUAUAGCUUCACCGAGUUAAUGUGACUAUGUAAAUUCCAUAGUUUUGGUUUGGAUAUGGUUUACUAAUGCGUUGAGUUGUCUGUAGGGUGGCAUAAAUGCUGCAUUAGGGAAUAUGACAGAGGAUGACUGGAGAUGGCACAUGUAUGACACAGUCAAGGGAAGCGAUUGGCUGGGUAUGUUACUUGUUAAACAUGACACAUCUGUGGUUUUCAUUUCAUGUUGGGGAUGGGGUGUUAGACAGGAAACACUUGCUUUUAUGGAUUGUAUUUUAACUGUACAAGGAUUUCAUAGGCACUUAUUAUUCUUGCACCCCACUGUGCACAUGCAGACAGACAAACACACACUUUGUGGUUUUAUCUCUACUUUUUACAGUUGUCCUUUUGGUUGUAUUUUGACGUGUGAGCCUUUUGUGUUCCCAUAGGUGAUCAAGAUGCCAUCCAGUAUAUGUGUAGAGAGGCUCCAAAAGCUGUGAUUGAACUUGAAAAUUAUGGAUUGCCAUUUUCUCGAACUGAAGAUGGAAGAAUAUAUCAGCGUGCAUUUGGUGGGCAAAGCCUUGACUUCGGAAAAGGUAAGAUGAUGCAUCCAUGCAGGUUUGAACUUUGAAGAUCACGUGCCUAUCUCAUGAUUUCUGUUUAAAGCUGUCUGACAUUGGCUUCAUGUACUUUAUCUUGUUACCUUGUAGGUGGACAAGCAUACCGCUGUGCUUGUGCUGCUGACAGAACUGGUCAUGCUCUAUUACAUACUCUCUAUGGACAAGCUAUGAAGCAUAAUACACAAUUUUUUGUCGAAUAUUUCGCUUUGGAUCUUCUAAUGAACAGUGAUGGUAAGUUUAUGUGUAACAGAUGGGCACUUUCUUUGAAGAAAAAAUAAAUAGAAAUGUACAAGUUGUAAUCACUAUGUUGCUAUGUUUGCACUACUGGAAGAUGCAACCCUUUAUACAAACCAGAAGCAUAUCAGAAGUGAUUAAUCAUAUUCAAAAUUGCCUUUCAUGAGAAGAAAGUUUUGACAUGUUACUUGUGGAAUGAAGCUAGUUUCAUCACAUGUUCUUAUACGUAAAAGUCGGCAACUUUUAGUGUGUUAGUUAAGAUGUGGUAUAGUGACAUAGUUAAGAUGAGGUCCAUAUUUCAGCUGCGUAUAUGUUGAUGCUUUGGUAUAUUGAAUCAUUGACCAUUGAGUUCUUUUCAUCUCUUCCCUGGAUUGCUUGCAUGUUGAACAUCUUGUUCUGAGAUGUUCAACUGUGUCCACUUUAAAGAUUUACUAUUUUCUUGAUAGCAAUGCACAUACGAAAAUAUGAUAUAAAGAAUUGUUUUAUAUCAAGAGUGCUUUUCAUUAAGUUAAUUGUUGAUUGAUAUUGUAAUUCAGGGAGCUGCCAAGGAGUUAUUGCAUUAAAUAUGGAGGACGGGACUUUGCAUCGGUUCCAAGCAGCAUCAACAAUUUUGGCCACAGGGGUAUUUUUUCUGUUUUCUUUUUCCUUUGUUGGAGUUAUGUCAUUGAAGUUCAUCUUAUUCCAAUUAAGCAAUAAGAUCUGAAUCCAUAUUUUGUGUUUCUGGCAGGGUUACGGUAGAGCAUAUUUCUCUGCAACCUCAGCUCAUACCUGCACUGGAGAUGGUAAUGCCAUGGUCGCACGUGCUGGACUCCCUCUUCAGGUUUUUUAAUCUUUCCCAUUCUUGAGUCUUCAGUAGGCUUUUCCUUUUGUCAUUAUAUAUUUUCUUGUUUGGUAUGUCCCUUCUGCAGGAUUUGGAGUUUGUGCAGUUUCACCCUACUGGUAUAUAUGGUGCUGGGUGCCUCAUCACUGAAGGUUAGUGAUAUUUUGGUUGCAUUCUCGGCUAUGCAAUCUCAUCAUUUGAAUAUUUUGUUGUUUGUUAUCCUCAGUUAAUUAGAAGCUAGAAACUGAUAUUUUCUUCUUAUUUUUGCAAAUUGUAGGAUCACGAGGGGAAGGUGGUAUCCUUAGGAACAGUGAAGGUGAGCGAUUUAUGGAACGAUAUGCCCCUACAGCGAAAGACCUUGCUUCUAGGGAUGUUGUGUCAAGAUCUAUGACUAUGGAAAUCCGGGAGGGUCGUGGUGUAGGUAUGAUGUGUUCUGGAAUGACAUUGACCUUCAUCCUUGCUGACACUGCUGUCCUAUCUUUGUAUUCAGUAAUGAGAUGGAUCAUUUCAAUUAUUUCCUUGCUAUGCUUUUUGUGUGUCCUUUAGUAACUGUUACAGUUAUUUUUAUCAGGACCUUUGAAGGACCACAUCUAUCUCCACUUGAAUCAUUUGCCCCCAGAUGUACUCAAGGAGAGGCUUCCUGGUAUCUCUGAAACUGCUGCCAUUUUUGCUGGCGUGGACGUUACAAAAGAGCCUAUUCCCGUCUUACCUACUGUGCAUUAUAAUAUGGGUGGAAUUCCGACCAAUUAUCAUGGAGAGGUAUGAGUUAAUAUAUUCAUGUCAACUAGGCCUCUUAUGAUUUACUCAAGGGCCUACAAUGUAGUUAAAUUGGAUCAUCACUUAUUGAAUGAAUAGAUAUAAUGACUAAAAUUCCAAAGAACCAUCCUUUGAUUAAAAUAAGCAUAAACAAUUCUCUGAAAUACUGCUUUUCCUCACGAACAUGUUCUUUGUUUUUCAGGUCGUUACCAAAAAAGGUGAUGACCCAGAUGUAAUAAUUCCUGGGUUAAUGGCAGCUGGGGAGGCAGCCUGUGCAUCUGUGCAUGGUGCCAAUCGGCUUGGUGCAAAUUCACUCCUUGACAUUGUUGUUUUUGGCCGAGCUUGUGCAAAUAGAGUUGCAGAGAUCCAUAAACCAGGCAAGUUUGUUUUCAUGCUAAUGAAGAUAAUAAAUUAAUAAUGUAAAUGUGAGAAAAUCUUAAACGUCUCUACUUGAUCUUGUAUAGGGGAGAAACAACAGCCUCUGGAAAAGGAUUCUGGUGAGCAGACCAUUGCAUGGUUGGACAAAAUAAGGAAUUCAAAUGGUUCACUACCAACUUCGCAAAUCCGGUUGAAUAUGCAACGAAUAAUGCAAAAUAAUGCUGCUGUGUUCCGCACACAAGAAACAUUAGAAGAAGGUAUUCCAUUUCCCAAAAGUUACAACGCCUUGACCCCAUUUUGCCCUUUUUGGGUACAUAAAGUGGCUUUAUUGCUUACUCCUUCAACUGAAGAUCUCAUAUUUCAACCCAUUACCUUGAGCUAUAUAGAUUUCCCCUGAACUUUUAGACUGAAAAUCAAACACUAUUGCAACCUUUUAUGUACUCCCUUUUCUGUGUUCCUUCUGUAGGUUCUCAGUUGAUUGACAAGGCAUGGGAGAGUUUUGAUAAUGUUCAAGUGAAGGAUCGGAGUUUGAUAUGGUGAAAUUUUGUGCAUGAGAAUGUUGGCAAAUAAGUAAAUACAUUUUUUUCUUUUAUGAGCUAACAAUUUAACAUAUAUAUAUAUAUGUAAUUUUUUUACAGGAACUCCGACUUGAUAGAGACUAUAGAGUUGGAAAACCUUUUGAUAAAUGCCUGUGUCACCAUGCAUUCCGCUGAAGCCAGGAAAGAGAGCAGAGGAGCACAUGCUCGUGAAGACUUCACGGUUAGCCCUGUUGCUCUUGUUUAGAAAUGUCCUUUCCUUACCACUAUAUAAUGAAAUUUUCUCUGCUCUUGCAGAAAAGGGAUGAUGAGAAGUGGAUGAAACAUACUCUAGGGUAAGCCACCUUCGCCACCCCUCUCUAUUAUGAGAAAUAUGCAGUUCCCUAUUCGUGGAAUUUCAUUGUAUUGUAUAUUCUAAAUUAAAUUAUGUUCAUUUUUUGUGCAGAUACUGGGAAAAUGAGAAGGUCCGACUAGACUACAGACCAGUUCACUUGAACACAUUAGACGAUGAAAUCGAGUCAUUCCCACCUAAAGCUCGUGUCUACUGAGAUGUUUGCUCCGUUUAUAAUCGCGCUGAUAAUCUUUUUUACAAGCAUGUAGUGAACUCCCUAAGAAGAAAGAAGGCUGUUAAUUGUUGUAGUUGCAGCUUUUUGGCAAAUAAUUGUUGCAUUAAUCUGUGUUAAACUGAUGUGAUCCAAAGUAUUAAUAAUUUCAAUCAAGGAUUGGAAUGUCUAUUUUGCAGCAAAGGGGAAGAUUCUCCGAAUGUAUUUAAUUUUGAUAACCCAUUAAAUUGCCAGCAAAUUCAUGGAUGUGAUAUUGUGUUUUAGUCGAGAGCCUAUCCAGGCGAUCUGUUGGACUUGGGACUUGCUAAAGGUGAAUUUAUCAACAUAUAGCCGAUACCUUUUUAACAUUUGUGAAGCUGAAUUUAUACUCCGAAAUUGAAUCCCAAAAUGAUUGGGUUUACAAAACUAUGGUCUUAGUGUCGAUCUACAAGAGCAGUGAGUUUCCAAAUGUUUGCUUUGGAUUGGCCAAGGCCAAAAUAAUUUAAAUGAUUUAAAUCAAAUUUAGUCUCUGUGAUAACAAUAAAGUUGUUGAGGCAAGAUUUGAAAUCGGGGUAGGUACAUAGAUCCCUUCUACUCGUUUAGAAAAAGGCCACAUUUAGGUGAAGUUCUCAUUGUCUUCCCACCCUUUGUUUAAACUUUAGCUCUUGGUAUUAUUUGAAAGAAAGAGGACUAAAGGUGGCAAUGGAGGAACAAUCAGUCUCUUUGCAUUAUGUAGGAAAUUUGCUUGUUGAUGUUGGGAAGGAUUUUGCCACGUUCAGUCAUGCGUUCGUGCAUGAUCAGUUAUUGUAGUAGAUACAUUAGGACCCAUUUAGAUCUAUGAUCAACAAUCAAUUACACGUCUACCAUAAACGCAUGAUCAGUUGUUGAUCGUAGAUUCAUUAGAGACUCAUUUAAAUUUCCAAUUAACAAUCAAUCACACACAUGAUCAGUUAUUGACUGUAAAUACAUUAAAGACUCAUUUAAAUCUCCAAUCAACAAUCAAUCACACGAGCACCACCGCGACUAGCCCUAAGAGAGUUCAAUUGAAAAUUGCAUAGUAUUAAUCCCUCCUAUAAUCCACAAGCAACAGUGAAGAAUCAUGAAUUAACAAUGAGCCCAUCAUGUAAGGACAAAGCUAAGUUUUUAGCAGUCAAACAUGCAAUGGAGUGGUGUCUUGAUCCAAAAACUGCUUUAUUGGAAAUUCGAGUGUGCAUGGCUUGUAAUAAUGUAAGAGUUGAGUGAGAGAGUGAGAGAGUUAGUAACAAGUAGGCGACAAUGGUGGCUUUUAGUUGGACUAAAUGGCAUUCACAAAGACGUUGCUACAAUAUCACUGACUCACUACAUCUACAUGUUUCAUGAUGUUAGUGGGAGAAACUGUGCCCCCCUCACAAAAAUCAAAUAACUACUCAUUCAUAUUUCAUAAUUCUAACAUUUAUAUUUUAAAAUCAGUUGGGGUGAUUCGAUUAAUAUUCGGAGUGGAGUAAAUUAAAAUUCUUUUUCACUCGGUUAGACUCUGUUGAAAUACAAAAUCUCAAGUACAAAGGUAAAUACUCUUAACUAUUUAACUACGUUUGCAACUCUUCUUUUUGUUUUUGUUUUUAACUUUUUCAUGAGUGUUUCAAUUUAAUCCUGAAAUUAAGUACUCAUUAGUCAUUACGAUUACAGUCACUCAAGUUGAAUAUCAGCUUCAAUUAUAUGACCCACUUGGUGCGGAUGACGGAUGACGUUCUUGUCCUGUGAUUAUGAUGUUUGUUAUUGUCCUAAUAUAAUAUAAACUGUGUUUGGGAACUGAUUUCUAUAUUUCCUUACUAAUGGUUAAGGUGGUGAUGGUGGUGGUGGAAAGUCAUUUAUUUAAUUUAUCACGUUCUAAGACUAAGAAAGUGUCAUUAUUUUAAAGAGCCUUAAAUAUUUAGAAAACAUGUAUAGAACCUAACCUUAUUUUUAUAUUUAAUUUGUCAAAAUAUUAUGGGUUUUACAUGAUUUCUUUAAUAUAUUGAGUUUGAUAUCAUGUAAGAAAAAAAAAAAACCUCAAUUAGCUACUUGUUAUUUUCUAAUUGAUUCUUAACGUGUUACAAUUUUUUCACUUAAAAGUACAGCAAUAAAUUUUUCUAAAAUAUUGUAUUUUAAAUAUUUUAUUUAUAAAAUGUCAUGUAGACCUAUUUGUAAAAACUAUUGUUUCUUUACCUUUUACACAAUUGGUUAAUUGAAUUUGAAAAUAUAGAUUUUCCCACUUAGACAAAUAUACAUUGAUCAGUGUUUUUUUUUGCCCCUUUCUUUUUUGCACUAACUUGAUCAAAUGAUGACACUUGUAAUACAAAAUUAAGGGAUAUGCACUGUUGGGAUUUUGGUGGACCACAAAAGAGUUGGUGAACACUAAACAGGCAACAUUAAAAGACUAAUUUGUAUCCCAAAUUUGUAAAUAAGAUAAGUACAUAUAAAAUAAAUAAAAAAGUGUAUUACUACGCUCAAUUAUUAGCCAAAGUACUUAAGUACUUGAUCAUAAACCUGCAUUCAAUAUUUGAUUAUUCCCAACCCCAUUAACCAUUGUCUAAAGUUAGCUAUUAAAAUAUAUAUAUAUAUAGUUAUUCUCUUAUUUGAAUAUCUGUACGUUAUUAUUAUGCGAAUGCCAUUAUAAAUAAAUAAAAUAUAUAUAUAUUAAAAAAUAUAUAACGUCUGCACUAUAAUAACGUCCAAAUAAUAUUAUUGUAAUUAAUACGUCGAUCCGAAAAAAAGUUACGGUCAAUUUCCAUAACAUAAUGCAAAAGUUAUGUGGGAUAUAACAUGUCAUCAUAUGUAAGCUGUUUUUAAAAUAAAUAAAAACUUAAUUAGAAAAUAUUAAAUAUCUCUUUUAAGAGAUGGCCAUUUGCAGAACAUACAGUAUUGUAAUGCUAGUGGUUGUUGCUUUCAUUUUCGACUGAAUUUCAAAAUUUUCAACUAUCUCAGGCUAGCAACAGCCUCGCAGCUAUUAGCCAUACCUCUAUAACUUUUUAAAACAAAGCACUAUUUCAGUGCUGGAUCUUAAUCAGAUUGUUGACUAAGCUAUAAGCUACUUAAUGCUUAAUUAACCCAUCGUGAGUAAUUGUUAUAUGCGUAUACUCUAGUGCUCUAUGAGUUAACCCUAAUUAUUAAUGGUUUAGUUUCACUAACUCUUUCUUUUUAUGACCUUUUAUAUUGAGAGGGGCGAUAGUAUACUAAACUUAUACACACUAUACGGAUGCUAUGACUCAAACCCAUGACCUUACCGGAGGAAGUAAAUACUCAAAACCACUACACUAGUGAGUCCUUUAUGCCCAAUUAUUAAUUUUAGUUGUUCAUAAUAGCUUUCUACCCUAUUAUCCUAGCUAUUGAUAUCUUCUGAAUUUGAAGCCUAUACUGCAGACUGACCAUUCACUUAUAUUGCAUUAGGCAGAUUCAACUGUACAAUUAACUAUUAUUGAAUUGGUCCAGCUGCUCACUAUACAAUUCGAACCCCCCCCAAACCCUAAAUUUAGGCAACAAAUUUGAUUAUGAUUAUUUAUAGACUCGUACUUCACAAUUCUUUCUUUUUUAAAUACUUUCAAAAUCCAUAAACUGGACGUAUUAAUUAUGAUGAUUUGCUUACGUGAUGCAAUAGCUAAACUACCAAAGAUUCACAAUUGUUUCGAAUAUGAAGAAGGGGAAGCUAGCGUCAUUAAGAAAUAUGAUUGAUUAAAAAAAGUGAAUCAGUUAUAUAACUUUUCUCUCUUGCAACAUGCAUGUAAAAAUCACAUAUAAAUUAAUAGUAGUGUAAUAGAUAUCUAUAAGUUACGUAUAUAGUAAUUAUUGCUAUUGCGAAGUAGAAUCAUGAGAAUAAGUAGCAUAAAUCUUGAUUAGAUAGUGAGAAAUGAGAAUUUGAGAACCUUGGGCUAAACUAAAUUGAAGGUGUGAAAAGUGGAUGGAGAAAAAGAAAUGAUAAAGGAGGAUGUGCAUCCGUUGUGGGUCUAGUCCAACUGAGAAAGAUAAGCUAAGCAAUGGAUUGCUUUGAUUUCUUGUCUAAUCAACCCAACUAGUGACGGCGGACUAAGACCUCUAAUCUUUGUCCAUUUCGCUUUUACAUCAUUAAUUGAUAAUCUUAAUUAGAGAGCCAGAAAAAAAAUAUAUAUAUAUAUUUAAAAAGUAUAAAGGGUUCUUUCACAGCCUUUCCCAUCUACAACACUACCUCAAAUCCACGUCCCAAUUGCCGAGUCAUCAUCACUAAAAACAACUCAUUUGGUUGACCUCUACUUAUUAUCACAACUUAAUUCGGAGAAAAAAUUUUCUACCACUUGUUUGUGUUUUUAAACGUGACAAGAGAUAUAAAAAUACAAUUAUAUAUGACUGGUUAUGCCUAAAACUUUCCCGAUUCAUUUGCUCUGACGCCAACAAGGACUUCUGAUCUCAACACCGAAAUUACGUACUUCCCAAAAACCUAAAAUUGUGAAUUGAAUGACUAUUUUCCAACAAAAAUACAUUUCAACAUAAUGAAUCCAUUGACUUGCACCACCAACACAUGUCUCAGAUUCUGAAAAAGAAAUUUUGGUUCUCACUUUUUUGAAUCUUUGAUUAUAUAUAUAUAUUUAUUUAUUUAUUUUGCAUUUGAAUGAAACGUAACAUAAGAAAUCACGUUAAUGUGGUAGACAUCUCCACCAGCACCACCACCAAAUUCCGAAAGCCCACCGUGGACGUUGCUUUCACUGGGUUUGUUGCCCGUUGGUUUGUUUGUUCCACGUCAAAGUUUCGUGCACCGUUGCUUUUCUCAGUUGUUGCAUUUUGGUUGGUCCAAGAUUGUCCACGUGGGACCACACUGUACCCACUUUUCCUCAUUAGUCCUUGACAAAGAGGGCCCAUGUAGUCUUAAAGUGGGCCCACCGACCGGCCAAAAAGAACGGACCCCAAUCUGCCUGCGAGUCUCUCCCUCCCUCCCCACUUUGCCCCAUUAAAAAAAGCCCACUCCAAAUUUUCACCUUUCUAUGCUCUUUCUUCCUUUUUUUUCCCUUAUCUCCACCCUUUUUUAUCUAAGAAUCACCCCUUCCACCCCCACCCUUGGGCCUUGACUCACUUUUUAUCUCUUGACUAUACUUUGCAUUGUGUUCUCUUUUUGAUCUAGUUUCAUGCCUUAUAAAAUUGUUUUGUUUUUACAUUAAGGAAGGAGAGGAAUUCGAAUUUGGGUUUCUUUCUCGUUCCACCUCAUUCGAUAUUUAAAAUACACAUAAUUAAUUUGAAACUAAUUGUUGAUUUAUCGAAUGAAAAAUAGUACUACUACAUUAAUUAUAUUUGAAUAUUAAAGUUUGAUAAUGAUAUGAUGUGGUGCUUUCUUUCAUAAAAGAAUGCUAACGUCAGUUAUAAGUGGGCACGUGAAGUAAUUUCAACCAUUGAUGAUUAUAGAUCAUUAUAGAUCGUGGCGUGACUCAGAUCAGCAUAACACUUUGUACUUAGUUGGAAUUGAGACCACUACAAAACUUCACUUAGUUUUUUUUUUUUUCUUUCGAAAAAUUUGAUUUAGUUCUAAUAGGAAAUGUUUUUUUUUGUUUCUGUUUUGUCGAUUUCUACUAGGAAAAGUAGUAGAGACACAUCGUGUAAUGUUUAAAUCCAAAAAGUAAUUAUGGCUAAUAAAUCUAUUCUAAACUCACCUCACCUCACCAUUCGUUGUUGUUGGAUUCACAUUUUUACCUUUUGACUCAGGUCCACGACUAAACUACAGUAAUUGCAUGUCGUACGAAGCGCCAACUGUAUACACGCAUCGGGCGUAAGAGAUGAAGCAGACAGGUAACGCAGUCCGUUUCUGUUUUUGUGUAAGUCAGAGAAACGAGCGGCCAGGAUUCGCUCACCUUUUCCCUAAAAGAUCAGACCCCAUGACGUCAGUCGUAGACGGUGACAUGGACGCGCCGUUUAAAAUCGAGAGCCCCUGGGUCCCACAUGGCCCGAACACAGCGGGAGGAAAAUAAAAAAAACCUACACACGUGGACGUUCGUGACACGGUGUUGUCAUAUUUGAGUAGGCGGGGCCCACUCUCAUAUGGGCGCCACGUCACUGAGGGAGAAAAAAAGAAAAAAAGGAAAAAGAGAGCGCAGAAAAGAGGGCCUAGGUUUUUUAGUAGGGGAGGGUGGGAGAAGGUGGUUCCCUCUACUCUCAUGAUUUCUUAAUUUUUCAUUUUUUUGGUUUUCAAAAUUGGGAAGGCCUUUCUUUUUUAAUCUUUUUGCGAAAUGAGGAAGUGGGUCCCACACCGUUGCUGAUUUUGGAUGGACUUUAAUCAGCUCCAGCAGCCAGCGAGCCAGCGAGCGCCUUGGGUUUGGUUUUUGGUCCUCCUUCCGGGGUUCAAGUACUUUGAAAGUUUUAAGCUUCAGCUGCUCUGCUUGCUUUCUCCUUCUUAAAAUCCUGUUUAUUUAAAUAAUAAACCAAAGCUCUGCUCUAUACAAACGUCUACUCUCUCUCUCUCUCUCUCUCUCUCUAGCUCAGCAAACCAAGUUGUGAUCCCGUUGUUUCUGGACCUCCAGUUGUGUAUGUACCACUCUCUCUCUCUCUCUCUCUCUCUCUCUCUCACUAUAUAAAGUCUCAGUCUUUCACUCUGGAACUCACUUGGCUGCUAUGUUCUGAUUGUGGGUUUGUGUUGUUGUAAUGUGAGUGCAGCGGUUUCCGGUUGGAUUUGGCCGGAGAAUGGCAUAUAUGUGUGCAGACAGUGGCAAUCUAAUGGCGAUUGCUCAGCAAGUCAUCAAGCAGAAGCAGCAGCAGGAGCAGCAACAACAGCAGCACCACCACCACCAACAGCAGCCGGUCGGCGCUUUCUCUCUCACUCCCUGGCCCAACAACACUCACAGCCCCAAUUUGGGCUACGGAUUAACCGGCUCGGGGUAUACCGACCCGUUUCAGCUUUCCGGAAGCUCUGACGCCGGCGGGGAGCCGGGGUUUCCGUUUCCCAACUUGGAUCACCACCCCACUGGGUUCCGGUUUUCUGAUUUAGGCGGCGGUGGCGCGGCCGAGUUCGACUCGGACGAGUGGAUGGAUAGUAUCAUAGGCGGUGGGGAUUCAACGGAUAGUUCUAAUCUGCCCUCUGCUUGCGACACGUGGCAUGGCAGCAAUGCUGAUUUCGGUCUCUACGGUGCCGAUCCAUUCCAACCCCCCUGCCCGAGUCGACUCAGCAAUCCCUGCUCCCCACCGUCCGAUCUCAACCGAGUCAUCUUCUCUGAAACUCAGAACCAGUUGCCAGCCUGGACAGCCCCUCCUCCGCCGCCACCAGCACCGCAUGUUGUAGUCAAACAGGCCAAAUCAGCAGACCCUCCUCCGCAGCCAAACGAAGCCGUCGGGGUCUCGUCAAGGUCACCGGAGAUCGAGUCAGCGCCGCCGCUACUGAAGGCCCUACUCGACUGCGCCCGGCUAGCCGAGUCCGACCCGGACCGCGCCGUCAAAUCACUGAUUCGACUCAGAGAAUCGGUCUCAGACCGCGGAGAUCCAACUGAAAGAGUUGGUUUUUACUUCACCGAAGCGUUGCAGAGCAGAGUGUCGUCUCUGCAAUCGGAGAAAAGCUUGGCGGCCACCACGACCUACGACACUGCUUGCGAAGACUUCACUCUCUCUUACAAGGCCCUAAACGACGCUUGCCCCUAUUCCAAGUUUGCCCAUUUGACUGCGAACCAGGCCAUUCUCGAAGCGACGGAGAGAGCGACGAAGAUCCACAUAGUCGACUUCGGAAUCGUCCAAGGGGUCCAAUGGGCCGCUCUGUUGCAGGCCUUGGCGACCAGGUCAACCGGAAAGCCCAGCAGAAUUCGGAUCUCCGGCAUACCGGCUCCGUCUCUGGGGACAUCUCCCGCGGCCUCGCUUUUUGCUACUGGAAAUCGACUGCGCGAUUUUGCCAAGCUUCUGGAAUUGAACUUCGAGUUCGAACCGAUUCUCACUCCGGUUCAUGAGCUCGACGAGUCGUGCUUCCGGGUAGAACCGGACGAGGCCUUGGCUGUGAACUUGAUGCUCCAAUUGUACAACCUACUUGACGAGACUCCAACGGCGGUUCAAUCGGCUCUGAAACUAGCUAAAUCGCUGAACCCGAAGAUUGUGACUUUGGGCGAGUACGAAGCGAACUUGAGCCGGGUUGGGUUCACGAGCCGGUUCAAGAACGCGUUGAAGUACUACACCGCGCUGUUUGAGUCGCUGGAGCCGAACAUGACCCGAGACUCGCCGGAGAGGCUUAAAGUGGAGAAGCUUUUACUGGGUCGUCGAAUUGGCGGCGUGGUUGGGCCGGAGCAACCGGGAACCAAGAGAGAACGGUUCGAAGACAAAGAGCAAUGGAAGUAUUUGAUGGAAAGCUCCGGUUUUGAGCCGGUAGCUCUUAGCCAUUACGCAGUGAGCCAGGCCAAGAUCCUGCUUUGGAACUACAACAAUUCUUUGUAUUCUCUAAUUGAAUCUCCACCGGGGUUUCUCUCUUUGGCUUGGAACGAAGUUCCUCUGUUCACUGUUUCAUCAUGGCGUUAAUGGGUUUUGCUUCAAUUUGGGAAUUGGGUUUUUCACCAGGUCUUUUAAUACUGGGUGGAAGCCUAUUAGUUUCAGUACGCCAUUGACAGUGGUCUUAGUUCAGUGCUUCUUCUUCUUCUUCAUGAUCAGAAAUGGAACUCAAGACUGCCCUAGUGAACUUACAGUUAGUAUUUAUUUUACUUCAGCAUAUAAAAUCACCUCCACCACCAUCACUCUUUUGAGCUUUUUGGGUCACAAAUUGCUUGUUAAUUUUUGUAGUUUCUUCCUAGUUUUUCAUCAUUCUCCAACGUUAUCAUGGUCUUCCCUGGUUUUUUUUUGUUUUUUUGGUUGGGGUUUUUCUUACAGGUUUGAGACUCUGAAAUAUGACUAAUUGUAAAAAAAAAAAAGGCCAUUGAAAAUCAAGGGGUAACAAGGUUCUGUCCCCUUUGUUGUCUGUAGUUUCUGUAUGUAAAUUUGAAUCUUCAUAUUGAAUUUAGUUUCUAUUUCUUCAGUUCAGCUUCAUUCUUUUGUCCAACAAAGAUUAUUAUUACCGUCAGAAAUGGUUAAUUGGUGAUCUCAUUUUUGUUUUUUACAUUAAAGCUUGCACUUUUCGAGUAUUCUGGCUUUAUGGCUGCAAGUUUGGUUUACCUCACAGAGGCUGUGGCUCUGCAAUUUAUUUCAAUGCCUAUGCCAUCAGGCAGGCAUCAGAUUUUUGUGACCUGCAGCAGCAGUAGCAGUGUGUAAUAGAUUUCUGACAGUUUUAAUUGCCUCAUUAUCCAUCAGGUUGUCUCUGUAAGACUGUAAUUAGGGUUUGAUGAAGACCCAUUACCUGCGCGUGCAAAGCUGUGAUUUCUGUAAUUGGUCUCUUGAUGAAGACGACCUGCUGCAAGUGAUCUGCCAGCAGAGAUCUUUUUUACUCCUGCUGCUCAACUUUCCAUAUUCAAAGGCUGCUGCUUUUGUUUCUGCCUCGUAAUCAAUUUCCUUAAACCAGCGCAAAAGACAAUGAGUUGGAGUUAAAGCAACUUAGCAAUUUGCUUGAGCAUUGGAGUUUCUCGCCCAUCCAAUGUGUAAAUGUGUCUAUAUUUUCAAUCCAUGGGCCAUGUUUUCUUCCUGAUUAUGAUAUUAAUGCAUGUCCCUUUCACUCUGAGAUCAGUCCUCUGGCUCUCUUGCUUACAGACUUGGGGAUGAGAACCAACCCCUUUCCUAGUCUCUCUCUCUGAACAAAAUAAAUGGGCCAAAAGCAUGACAAAGAAGGCAGUGGCACUGCAUGAUAAUGCUCUGCUUAUGGUCCGAGUGACUGUGACCAUUCAAGCCUCAUUGUAAAAGCUACGUUUGAGUAUAUAGAAAUUUGAUUUGCCUUCUAGAGUAGGGUCCCAUUUAAACCCAAAAAAGAAAAAAAAAAAUUAUAAAUUAUAAAUAAAUAUCACUAUGUGGGGUUUGGUAUAAGUAUCUUUCAAUAUCUCUUGCUCUAUUACCCGUAAAAAAACAAAGCACUCCCUCUUAUGUCGUCCUCAGCAGAAUAACACCAUAUUGAAUUGCAAAGAAAUGGACCCUUUAAGCCCCUCUGCUGGUCUGGCACUAUCCUGUGAAAUGUCCUUCUCCUCGUAACUGGAGAAGUGAUUUGGCAAUUUAAUUACUUGAAAGAGGCCUUUUUCAUCACUAAUUGCACCCGAGACCCCUUUGAUUUGGGAACUUGACAGCUAAGGCAGUGGUUAACUGGUUAUAAAUAGUUCGACUGGAAAAUUUUAAACACACAUUUUUCAGUCAAAAGCACUUCCUACACGUAUUAGUAUAAGAUAGGUAGGAAAAUAAGACACGGGGUGAAAAUAGCAGUACCCGUUGAGUUUCAUAUUUGUUUUUCUUUUUUUAUAAAGAAAAAGUAUAGUGUGCUGGUCAAAAACUUAAAUUGAGUCUUUUGGGAUUAGAUUAACCAGUACUUGAGACAAUUACUAAACAUAAUUAUCUUUUAGACUUUAGUGAGGCGCUUCUAAUGGUAAAAAAGAAGGAUCAAUUAAAAGGAGGUCAUAUAGUGUGUGAAGUUUUUGUUGAUAAUUUGCGUACAGUUUGAAGAUGAUGUAGUUAAGUUACUUUACAGCUUUGGGGUUAAAAGGUGAGAACUUUACUACAACGGUAAUGAAACAGUGCACAUUGGAGAUUUGGUAACAUUUGAACAAGUCACCUUGACUGGUCUUUCAAAACCUACAGUACUUGACAGAUAGGAUUGGUUGUUGCGUGCAAUUGCAUGAGUCUCAUCAACCCAAAUUCAUAUUUGGAGGGAUGCAACUGUUUCACUGUUGUGAGUGUCUCACAAACGGAGAACAAUUUUUGUGUAACAGGACGUCACGUUAACAGCAUUUUAAGUCAAUCACAUACUGUCACGUGGAAAGACGAACAUCAACAUUAUGAUAGGGUACCAAAUCAGUUGCCUAUGAGAUUUUUGAGGCUUUUAAGCCUACACAGUGAUCAAACCGUCACACCACCACUAGAAAGAGAGGCUGUAUUGGCGAGAGGCGGUGACUGCUGCUGUUGCGCAAUUUGCAAAUAGAGCAGGAAGGAGAUUUUGGUGGUACACUUUUUCACUAGGGUACUGGUGAUGAAUUUGACGUUUUUGGGAGGGUGAUUUUAUCAGAGAUGAGCAGAAUGUGCUCUGACGAUGACAUCAUGCAUGGGGCAGAGUGGUCCCAUCCCAGCCUUGUGCUUCUUCCUUCUGGAGGGAGGGAGGGAGGAGACAUUGGCGAUUGUGUUGUUACUAUCAAAAUGUAAAAGUGACAUGUCAUCUAUACACAGUGGCUGACUGGGUCAUGACUCAGAUGUAUGCAUGUGUUGUGUAUUUAUACUAUUGCUAUUGCGCAAGGAGACGUGUUCAUCUACGUCGACGACAAUAUCAUCUCAUAUUUGAAUCAACUCUGUGAUCAUACUUCAGUUUGAUUUCUAACUUUUCUGAAGUGAUCAAGAGGGAUUGUUUUCUUAAUUGCAAGAUUAACCUACACCAUCAUCCUCUAAAAUAAGUAAAUAAUUUGAAUUUCAAUUGAUACAUACAUUGGUGUGUUACGGAAUAUAACAACUACAAAUAAUAAAAAUAUUAAGGAGUGGAGUGUUGAAAUGGAGAGAGUAAACAUACGUCUCAUUUACGUUCCUAAGCUUCGACACAAAACUUAUAUGGAAAAUUAUUCUACCAAAAAGGAAACAAUCAAAAUCAAAAUCAUUUUUAUAUUCGGAGUUGUUCUUCAUUAACUUCAAAUUAAGUCCGAAACAUUUAUAGAAAAUAACCCAUUAAAGCUAGAAAAAAAAAAGGAAAAUUGUCUGCAACACGUCAAAGUAUAAUCGGUAAAUAUCAAAGAGGAAUGAUUCGUUCCAUGUAAGGAACAGCCUUAGUAGUCUUGUACUAGUAAUUAGCAGUUAUAAUUAUUGUGUUAGUGAAUGUAACCAAAAGAUUAGAAGUUGGUGCUAAGUUCAAUAAGCAAUAGUCAUGGUCGACAAUUGAGGCUAUAGCCUACUUUGUGGGCAAAGAAAGUUUGGGCUACGUUAGGGGUAAAUGAAUUUUGGGCUUUUCUCCCAAGGAUUGAAAACGCAUCCAAUUUUGGGCUAUAGGCUAAGUUUGUACAUUGUGUUCCAAAAAUUUAUCAGAUGGCUAAUGUAGGGAGAUAUUAAUUUAUUAGAUGAUAGUUUCUUUUUUUCUUUUAUAGUACGUCAAUUAUUGAGACAGAUAUCUAGAAAAAUACACGUAAUAAAGAAAAUUUUAUUAAAAUAACUAUUUAGAAAAAUAUAAUUACCUGUCUAACAGGGAAAAAAAUUAUAGUCUUUUUUUUUAAAAAAAAAACACUCUUAGAGCCGUUUUUAUUUUGAGGAGGAAGCCAUUAUUCUUUCUCCCCUCUUCUCUUCCUCCCUUCACCUCUUUCUUCAUUUUCAGAUACAAAUGGUUUACUCUAUUUGUAUUUGUUUUAUUAUGAUUUUCAUCCAACCUAUACAGGCAGCUGCGAGAGCUUGUGCGGUUUCUUUAUGUUUGGAAUAAGUUACAGAAACUCUUUGAGUUCUCUGUGUAGUUUUCACCUCUCAUUUGUGAGAGUUUUAUUUGUACUGUUAUGACUUGAUUUUUUCAAGCCUUAUAUCUUUUUAAUUAUUCUAAGUUUGCAAUCUUAGUUGGGAUGCCUAUGCCAAAGUUUCUUCCAUCAUACAUGAUCGUUAGGUGAGACGCAUCAAAUUGUCUUAAUUUCGUUAUUACAAUGGCCUUUUUCUGGCUAAUUUGUAUUGAUCUUUUGUGGCCAAAAGCUUUUUUGACUGAAUUAUGAAUGCAAUCAUAUAAUUUUUUAAUAAUAAAUUUGUUAUAUAUAAUUACAACAUAGAAUAUAUAAAAACUUUAUAAAUCCCAUGUAACGCGUUUGAUGAAAAAAAAAACUAAUUAUAAAUGAAAAAUAUAAUUUACAACUAAGUUUAUAAAACUAGUACAAUGAAUACAUAUCUGAUGUUACUUUAGUGCAACGAAUUAAACUAGUACAACAAAUAAAUAUCUGAUGUUAGACCUUGGCGGUGCUCUUCCUUAUCUUCUACCAGGACAAAAUGUGCCAGAAGAUUCAAUGGGUUGUGACGAUGGACGACAUGGACAGUUGAAAGCCCACGUACACAAAUUUUCCUCUCAGACAAGAGACACCUGUCCACUUUAUCGCCACGUGUCAUGACUUGAAAUGAAAAAAUUCCCCUACAAAAAUGGGACACAAUUGUGCUGGCUGCAUCCACAGCACUACACCGGCAUAUAUAUAUAUAUAUAUAUUUAUAUAUAUAUUUAUAUAUAUAGAAAGCGGUAGAAGUUUGAAGAUGCCAAAGAUGAUUAAUGCAUUCAAAACAUUCAGAACCCAAUCAGCAGCUUUGACAUUCUCGACGCCUCUGCCGCCGCCGCCAGGCUUGGGACGGAAAGCUUCCGGGGUCCGAUUCAAACAGACCACAACCCUGCGCUCCAGCGAGUCCGAUAGUGAGCACAACAUGGACAAGCCAGAGCCUAACCCUACUGAGAAAACUAGGUAAGUGGCUUUAUACCAUAUGAUUAAUUAUCCCAUUUUCUUUGCAAGUAAGUUGGAUGUGUAUUUAAUUUAAGUUGGCUAAUGUUAUUUGAAUGUACAAUAUUUAUAUAUUAGGGAUAGGGACAGUUUGUCACAUUCAUUUGGGGAGGGGUAUGCGACGAGGUGCGAUGACGAUGGGUUCGGAGUGGUAUAUGGGGGAAUCCGGUCAGUUCCAAAGACGGAGCAGGAUGACAACCACCCUGCUGUGGACAAGUCACAGGGAAGUGAGGUGCAGGAGAAGGAGAAACCGCGACACCAGACAAAUGCUUCAUCCUAACUAAACUAAUAUAUACGAGAGUCGACUACAUAUAUAUAUAUAUAUAAAUAUAUUUGCAGUGCUUUUAUAUAGUGUUUUCUUAAUUUCUGCUAAUCCGUUUUAUGAAGCGAGGAGGACGACCCAUGUUACUAUUUGUAUUGACUGGCUCUAUAUCUAGCUAUGUAAUGUAAAUGUGAAAAUCUAGAAACGCUUUCAAGUUGGGUAAUAAUUAAUCGAAACAUUUUGAGCAUGUAUAUUGGCGAAUAUUUCUACAUGGUGGUGUAAUCUGAACUUACAAAAAUUGCUCGAAACAUCGGAACAUACAAAAGUUAAUCGAAAUAUUUUGAGCAUGUGUAUUGACGAAUAUUUUUACAUGUUGGGGUAAUCUAAACAUACAAAAAUUACUUGAAACAUUUUGGGCUUCUACUUUUGGCUAUCUUGGUUUUUGGGCCUCUAGUAAAGUGUUGAAUUUAUAUUAGUAGGGGAUGAAGUAGACUGAUUUUAAUAGCAAUGGCUACCACUUGUGGUUGCCAAAUUCCACCACUACGUGUCAUGACAUGAAACUAAAUUUCUCACUGAAAUCAGGAUCAAUCCCCAUUGAACCGGACACAAUUUGGUGAUUUUUUGGCCUCACCUUUCACCGCCAUAUAUUCACUGCCUCAUCCUCGGUUAUGUUGUGUGUUUUCGUGCAUAAAUAGCAACCAGCAGAAAUUCCUACGAGGUACGCAAAACAUGAUUCAUGCAAUAAGAUCACUCAGAACCCAAUCGCCCUCAAACUUGGUCCAAAAAGCUUCCGGGGUCCGAUUUAGGCAGAACGCAACUAUUUCUACUGAUCCAGAUACUAAACAUAACAUGGACAAGACACAAAACCCUAACCAGCAGAAAACUGGGUUAGUCUACACAUUUCUUAUUGUUAUCUCAUAUGUUAAACUUCUCGAUUUUUUGGUUUUUGUACACUACUCGGUGCAUUGUCAAUAUUCAAUCGGUAUUUCCCACAUCACACGAGAAUAUCGACAAUAUAUCAAAUACGGUAUAUAAUCAACUGUUUAUGAUGAUUGAUACGGAUAUUCAAAUGAUAUUUCUCACAUCAAAUGUAUAAAUCAAUUGACUUGUUGUGUAAGUUUGAUUCGUUGAUUCAUAAUAAGGGAUUAGUAUUACUAAUUUGGGUACUACAUUUUGUUUGUUGUAUAUUCAUUAGAGAUGCGAUGUCUCAUUCAUUUGGGGAAGGGUAUGCGACUAGGUCCGAUGAGGAAGGAUUUGGAGGGGUAUUUUCAGGAAACCAGUCUCUACCGAAGACACAGCAGGAUCAGCUGAUCCAUGAAAACCACCCUGCGUAUGACAAGACGCAGGGAAGCGAAGUGAAGGAGAAGGAGAAAGGACGACACCAAACCCAGGCCAAUGCAUCAACAAACUAAUGAAGGUGCCCGCGAGCGGAUUGAUCUGUGUGGAUUCGGUGGCCUUUCUAUAUAAUUCCUUUUCAUUUUGCAAAUUAUUUUUAAUUUAAUUUGUUGGUUAUAUGUUAAUACUUGGAAAGGCUUUAAAGUUCGUAAUAAUUUCAUUCAUUUAUCGAAAUUAUCGUUGGAUUAAAGUUUUCUUUUAAUUGAUCAUUUGCUUCAAUCUGCAUUUGGAUUUUGUAAUAAUUUGCACGUAGAGUUCAUGGUUCCUAAAUUUAAAAAAAGAAAAGAAAUUACUAUUAAAAAAGGAGGCCAGUAUAAUUCGAAGGCAAAAUCCAAACGGAACACAAGCUCAAGACCACCACUACAAUCCUAACCCAAAAGCCUAAUGUAAGAGUAAAAAAAAAAGCUUUUAUGAAGGAUUUUGUUGAUAUCUUUUGGCCCGAAAAAUGAUUAUGUUAGAAUUACGAUAGAGAAUCAAAAGUUCGAUGAACUUCGUAGGUAAGUGAAAUGUAAAUCAUGCAUUAUGAUAGAGAAAUGUCAGAGCCAUAUAAGGAUUAUAAACAAAUUCAAAAUAACCUCAUGCCUAGAAUCCCUCAUUGUAUAUUCGUAAACCUUCUUUUGUGAGUUACCAUGUGAGGAGAACGAUAGAAAGAAGAAGUAUACACUUAAUUAUAUGUAAGUUUUUUUCGAAAGAGAAGGAGGGAUAGUCCUACGUCAAGGUUAACCUAGACUAUAUCCUAAAGUGACUUAUUAUUUUUAGCCUAAAAUAAUACCCCAGCCUUCCCUUGCAAGCCCCAUACACUCAUCCCACAUAAACAAAAUCUCAUUAACUAACUCCACAAGAAGUCUUACCAACAAAAAAAAAGGGAAAAACAAAAUUAACCCACAUGUGACAACACCGUCCCAACCAAAUAAAAUCCUAUUAACAAACCUAUGUUAUUCUUGAAGAGUUAAUUAUAGCAAACUAAGGUAAUCUUCAAUUCUUCAUUUCCUUUUCUUCUCCAAAUGUGUGGAUGUUGAACUUUUGGAGAUUGUUUAGGGUUUAUAAAGUAUCAAUGAGGAAUUUACAAUUAAGAAUUGUGAAUUAUCAAACAAGACGUGUAAUUGAUUUUGGUGUUCUUGCUUGCUUGUAUGAAUUAUCAAUUGAAGAUUUAGUUGAUCUAUAUAUUUACAUCUAUAUAUUAUUCAAUAGGUUAUACUUUAUAGUGUUGAAUCAAUAUCGAAAUGUUAAGAGAUCAUAGACUCUUAGAUAUCAAGAUUUGCAAUUAAUUUGGGUGUUCUUGCUUGCUUGCAUGUUUAUUUAUUGUUUUUUGUUUCCUUACAUGUACUAGAUGCAUUUUGAGGGGGGAGGCUCAUUAUGUUCCCCCUGAAUAUUUUUUUGUUAUCAAUAAAAUUCACUUGUACAGUCAAAUUUUCUAUCAAUUUAGCAUAUUUGUACAUAUAAAAUAAACAUAGCCCACACUAUUUUAAAAUUCUGAAUCCGUUCCCAGAGGAGGAUAUGUGAGAAAGGAAUUCAAAACUAUAUUGAGAAAAUGGAUGGUUUAUUUUAUUUUUCUUUUUCUUCCUCACAUUUUUAUUUUAAAUAUCUUAUGAGGUCAAUACUUACGUAUAGUCAUUGGAGGCACCCCAUCCCUUAGUGAUUAAAUAAUUUUCACUACACACAUGUCCCCUUUCCCCCAUGUGGCACCCCGGUUCAAAAUCAUAGCCGUGCAAUCCUAAGGAAACCCGCUAAUAUAUAAUCCCGAUUUAAAUUAUUCCGGACCGGUAAUAUCGAGCAUGACCCGUUGCAAACGUCGAAUAAUCUAGAAUAAAAGAUAACAAAUUGGCGCGACAGAAAACUAAUUGUAGUAAAAAGCUGGUAAGGUAGUAAAUUCGCGCGAGAGAAACCUAAUUAUAGUAAGAAACCUGAUAAGGACGUGAAUCCGAUUCCCAGACAAAAACGGUAACGUGUUGUAUAAUAAAUUCAAAAAAGGAAAGUGCUUACGAAAAACGCAAAGGUUUACUUUUCUCUGUCUCCAGCGCAUCGGAGACGUGUACAAGUGGACCACCGCCGAAUCCACCAAACCAUGCGAUUUCGUAUUAGCCGUCGAUCUUAAAUAUUAGAAAUCAAUCGCAACCGUACAUCCGCUUUUAUCCUAUUAUAAAAGUACGUUAGGGUGUCUGGUUCUAAAUCAUUCAGCGCCUCAACGUUCUCUUUCUCUCUCCUCACGACUCUAUGAGCCUCCUCGGUUCUUCUUCUCCUGCAGAUCUGCUCUGCAUGGAUCGUUUUCUCUCUCUGGUUCUUUCAAAUUCGCGUAGAUCGCUUUGUUGUCUACGUGUUGAUGGUGGUUUGAUGUUGUGAGGAUGGUUUGAGCUGAUGUUGAAUAGCUGGUUUGACCAGCUCGAGCUUGUACUCUGCGUUCUUCGAUUCAGAUUUACAGGUUCGUAUAUGUUUUUGCUUUGAUUUACGUAUCCAGAUCUGCAAUAAAGCUUCGGUGUUUAUGCCUUCGUUUGAAUUUUAUAGAUCUGUUACAAAUUGAGUUUUUUGUGUUUCUGCUUCGCACAGUUGCUGAUUCAUGUAUUUUCUUUUGUGUUCAAACAGAGAUGGCGACGGAGCUCUUAUGGAAUUUCAAGAGGUUUCAAGCCCAACGGUUCUGAGCUGGAUGCAGAUCUGAUGCUUAUGGCUGCUGAAGCUGGACCAACAGAUGUAAUUGAUAUUCGAUUCGAUGGGCAUAUUUGUAAUUUGAAGAGGGAAGCUGAAGUAUUCGGGGGUUUGGGUGUGGUUGAAUUCCGGAUGUAUAAGAUAUCGGGACGAAAGGCUCGGUGGAAGGGCUGAGUCCUGGACCGAUCUUUGUCAUCCGACCUUUGCCAUGACAGGUGCGCUUGCAUGGCAGGUCAUAAAAAUACCUCAAUAAAAAAACAAACGAUUUUUUGGUUUUGAGGGGAGACAGCAUGGGGGUUUGCCCAGGGUCUCCCCUCUGGUGUGUGUGCGCUCUGUGUCCUCCUUUCUCUUUGUUCUCUGUUUUUUUUGUUGCUCUCUUCUCCAUGCACACCAGUCGAGCACGGAUCGUGGACAUCGACAACAACGAAAUCUCGCGCCUAAAGGUAUUAUCUGCCCAAGUCUAUAUUCUUUUAGUUAAUAUUCAUCAUGGUACCCAGAUCUGCAAAUUUCACACCAAAUUCACACGAACACCUAUCUAAACAUGGUACUUAAAUCUGCAGCUACACGAUUAAUUAGUUUUAUGCGGUUUUAUUUAUCUUAAUUAACAAGGGAUUAAGCUUAUUGGGUUAUAUUAAGCAUAACUGGGGACUUGAUAGGGCUUGGUAAUAAUUUUUGUUUACAGUUUGGUAAUUGUGGAUUUCUUCAAACUACCCCACUGAUUUUGAAGGUAAUCGGGUUCGAGUUUACAUGGCUAUAUCGAUGUAGGAUACUAGUUACAUAGUAUUAACAGCAAACCGAGUAUUUUGAACCAUUAUAACCUCAAAGUAUACACCCGUAUUUUACUAAAUCCAAUACUAAUAUUUUUGGUAAGUUCCGUGUACUGAUAUUCAUUUAUUAUUCUAAAAUACUGUAAAUCAGAAGUAGUGGUAUGCUCGUCCAGAUCCCAAAUCCCUCAUCCUACCAUGCCACUCAUUUAAAAUGCCUUGCGUUACGUAUUUCGUCACAGAUUCCCAACACCUUUGCAACAUUUAUAAUUACUUAUGUUACUGCAGCUAAUUACAUGAGUUGAAAUGAAAUUUUAUGGUGUCUCGUGAGCUAUUUUAAAUAAUUAUUCAUUAUAAUCUGGAUUACAGUUUAUGGUAUGUUAUAUCUUGGGAUCUCAAAAGAUAUGGAUCCCCUGUAAUAUUCUGUAAUUUUAUAUCAUUUGGCUCCUUUUUCGUUGAGCCGUGGAUUGUAUUCCCAGUAGUUUGUUCUUAGGAGUGACUACUGGAAGCUUUCUUCGCUCUGGAGAUUGAACAAGACUUCUACCGGAUUGAAGCAGUGAGGUCGUGGGAAGGUCCAAGUCGUCUGUUGUAUGCACUCUCGUUCUGGAGAUUAUAAGGUGAAAAAUGACUGUACACCUGAAGGUUCAAUUUCUUAUGGCUUUGGAAGUUAUUCGAAGCCUUGAUUAGCAGUGUCCUACAUUUUAUUUCACCUUCAAGUUAUUGAAGUCAUUACUAUCAGCGUUUUCAAUUAUUUGACCUCAUUAUGUAUAUUUCAAUUUCAUGAUUUGUUCUGUUGAAUUUAUGCUAUUAUGAUGAUGUCUUCGGUCGAAUAAUGAAUUACUUCUGUUAAUCUAAAUCAUUGAAUCUCAAUUGUGUUUGUGGAUUGUGCAUAUGGAUGACUUAUUAUUGAGAUGAAAAAUUUAGGAUCAUGCAGAAUGGUGGAUGGGAUUUGAGGACAUGUUUUGGUUUGAAAAUGCAGGAAUGGUUCUUUUGAUUUUAUUAACUUUAUUUUGAGAACUGCAUGUAAUUAUGUGUGUAGGUUAUGUGGGAUCUUCAGUAGUUGUGGUGUAGUAUCCAUCUUCUCAUAUUAGUAGACUCUGGAAUGUUGUUUUAUAUGAAAAAAACACUUUAUUCUUAUAAUUUCAAAUCAGGAGGAGACUGUUCCAUGUUAUAAGUCGAUGUUCAUUUGUGGUUUUUGAAGAAAGGCUCUAUAUUGGGUUCCCUAUUCGAACCAGUAAUUUUAUUCUUCCAAGUGUCUCACCGCGGUUUUUUGUGAAUUGCUGGGUAUUUUUUGAACUUUGUUUCGUAAAAAUUUGUUAAGAGUUGACGAGGAGAAUGAAAACAGAGCUGUUUUAGAUUGGAAAACAUGUUAAACCCGUAAGAAACCCAGUAAACCUAAUUUCCACAAUCUAGUCUCUUGGUGAUGACCUGUGACUCUCGUCGUAAAACGUAAGCCAUAUUGGAACGGUGAGUUUCUGGUUUGGCGAUGUGAUUUUACCCGUUAUAGUGGAAGAUGCAUAGAUGUGGGUAAUUUGAGAUCAAGGUCUGUAAGCUCAAAAAUGGUAGAGCGCUCGGGUCCAUAGUUGGGCUUUGGGAGGAUGGUGGUUCGAAUCCACCCAGAUCUACAAUAACAAUACCAUUUAAUAAUGAACACAUUACUUUUUAUGAUCAAACUAUGACUUGGUGUGCCAUCAUCGUUCAUGUGUUGUUGGUUUUAUGUUUUCAUUACUCUUUAACCUCAUAUAGCUGUCAGGCAACCAAAAAAGCCCAAGGCCGGCAGCAACAGCAAACAACUGGCGGCAAAGUAGAACAAGGACCGAGGCAGGCAGCCGAAGCUGAGAGACAAAACGACACAGCCAAAAGCGAGCCAAGCAAGCAACAGUAGGCACCCAUAAUCUAAUUAUUAUUAACGAUAAAUGUCGGGUCAUUGUCUCCUGACUAAUACAUGAUUAGUGACAUACCUUUCCAUUGAAGGAAUCUUGAGGACUAUGUAGAUAUUUAUUUGUGUUUGAUUUUAAUGUCGCUUGCAUAAAAAAAAAUUUGUUUUACGUUAAAGAAACCUAGUAUGAUUUUGUUCUUCAUUUUAUGUAUCUAAAUCUAAAGGUUGUGACCUAUGAAAUUUGAUGUUAAUGCGUGCAACUAGACCGGGGAUGCCCUAUUUGAAUACUAGUUAUAUGGUUUUAUGUCGGUUACCGAUUUGUUAAAGGAAAAAAGAAUAAGUUGGGCCUAAAACACCAGCCCAAUUCUCGUUUUUCCGGGCCGUAGUCUCUUUAUCUUUUUUCUUAGGUCCGGCCCGGUUAAAAUUAUUCAAGGACUGUAAUUUCGAGCUUGGGCUGUUCCAAAUUCCGAAAUGUCUAGAAGGAAAUAUAGUAAUUGGCGCGAGGGAAACCUAAUUAUAGUUAUGACCCAGCUGUCAAGGCGGCAAAAUUAACGUGUCGUGGUUGAUACGGUCAAAAACAGUAACGUGGAAAAUUAUACCACCGCUCUAACCACCCACCCACCCACGUUAUAACAUUCCAGCCGUCGAUCUUAAAGAUAAGGGCGCAAUCGCAGCCGUCCAUCGCAUUUAUACUAUUAUAAAAGUAGGUUAGGUUUGGUUGGAUCCAAACCAUUCAACGUCUCAACGUUAUCUCUCUCCUCUUUCUCUUCACAUCUCUAUGCGCCUCAAUGGUUCUUCUCCUGCAGAUCUGUUCUGCAAGGAUUGUUUUCUCUUACUUUGUGUCGGAUUCGCGUAGGUCUUAUCGAGAUCUACGUUUUCAUGGUGAUUUGAGGCUGUGAAGAUGUUUUGAGCUGCUGGUUCAUAGCUGGUUUUACCAGCUCGAGCUCGUCUUCUUCGUGCUUUGGCUCAGAUUUACAGGUUCGUCUAUGUUUUUUAUUCUUUUAACUUAUCUAGAUUUCGAAGAAGGCUAUACUGUUUAUGCUUUCGUUUAAAUUGUUAGAUUUGCUAGAAUUCAGCUCAACAGUUUCUGCUUCAUGCAGGUUUUGAUUGAUGAUGAUGGAGUUCAUAGCAAGUCGUCGGAGAUUCCAAGAUUUGACCGUUUUGUGCCAAAUCCGACGUCGUUUCAGCUGCAGAUCUGGUUCUUCUGGAGUCUAGCGUAUGUUUAUUCGAUAUUCGAAUUGAAUAAUUGUAAUUUGAUGAUCGGGAAGGUCAAAGCUGGGGUGUUUAGGGAUGAUUGGGUUGUGCAACGGAUGUAUAAGAUGUCGGGACGAAAGGCUCAGAGGGAGGGUCUGUGUCCUGGACCGAUCUUUGUCAUCCGACCUUUGCCAUGACAGGUGCGCUUGCAUGGCAGGUCACAAAAAUACCUUAAUAAAAAAACAGAAACGAUUUUUUGGUUUGGAGGGGAGAUUGCAUGGGGUUUUGCCCAGGGUCUCUCCCUCUGUUGUGUGGUGUGUGAUCUGUGUCGUCCUCUCUUUACUCUGUUUUAUUUUUCGCUCUCCUGCUCAUCCAAGCAU
rnacentral:lncRNA from 1 species